AGUGAACGCUGGCGGUAGGCCUAACACAUGCAAGUCGAACGGCAGCACAGUAAGAGCUUGCUCUUACGGGUGGCGAGUGGCGGACGGGUGAGGAAUACAUCGGAAUCUACUUUUUCGUGGGGGAUAACGUAGGGAAACUUACGCUAAUACCGCAUACGACCUACGGGUGAAAGCAGGGGAUCUUCGGACCUUGCGCGAUUGAAUGAGCCGAUGUCGGAUUAGCUAGUUGGCGGGGUAAAGGCCCACCAAGGCGACGAUCCGUAGCUGGUCUGAGAGGAUGAGCAGCCACACUGGAACUGAGACACGGUCCAGACUCCUACGGGAGGCAGCAGUGGGGAAUAUUGGACAAUGGGCGCAAGCCUGUUCCAGCCAUACCGCGUGGGUGAAGAAGGCCUUCGGGUUGUAAAGCCCUUUUGUUGGGAAAGAAAAGCAGCAGGUUAAUACCCCGCUGUUCUGACGGUACCCAAAGAAUAAGCACCGGCUAACUUCGUG
rnacentral:rRNA from 1 species